GACGAACGCUGGCGGCGUGCUUAACACAUGCAAGUCGAACGGAAAGGCCCUGCUUUGGGGGGGUGGUCGAGUGGCGAACGGGUGAGUAACACGUGAGUAACCUGCCCUUGACUUUGGGAUAACUUAAGGAAACUGGGGCUAAUACCGGAUAGGAGCUCCUGCUGCAGGGUGGGGGUUGGAAAGUUUCGGCGGUUGGGGAUGGACUCGCGGAUUAUGAGCUUGUUGGUGGGGUAGUGGCUUACCAAGGCUUUGACGGGUGGCAGGCCUGAGAGGGUGACCGGCCCCGUUACGACUGGGCUGCGGCCCAGCCUACAACCGGACGCAGCGGUGGAGAAUGUUACACAAUACGCGGAAGCCUGGUCCGACACCGCCGCGUCCCGUAAGACAGCCUUCGGGUUGUAAUCCACUUUCCCCUGUCCCGAAGCGUGAGUGACGGUACUGGGUAAAGAAGCACCGGCUAACUACGUG
rnacentral:rRNA from 1 species